rnacentral:rRNA from 1 species
UCAUCGUAGGGUUAGUCGGGUCCUAAGCUGAGUCCGAAAGGGGUAAGCGAUGGAAAAUCGGUUAAUAUUCCGAUACCAACUAUAGAGCGUGAUGGGAGGACGCAUAGGGCUAUGUGAGGUCACUGAUGGAAUAGUGGCUCGAAGGGUGUAGGCUGGGAGAGAAAGGAAAAUCCACUCUCCUAUAGCUGAGACCUGACAGGCUGUGGAGGCUUUUAGGAGCCAAAACAGAAUCACAGAUGCCGAAGUGCCAAGAAAAGUCUCUAAGCAUAUCUAUAGUUGCCCGUACCGUAAACCGACACAGGUGGGUGAGAUGAGAAUUCUAAGGCGCGUGGAAGAACCAUUGUUAAGGAACUCUGCAAACUAGCACCGUAUCUUCGGUAUAAGGUGUGCCUACUUGGGUGAAGCUCCUAGCGAGUGGAGCCUGAGAGGUUGCAACAAAGAGUCCCUCCCGACUGUUUAC